AAUACUUGUCGCUUUGAGAUUUUGUUUGCAACGUUUGAUCAUUCGUCUUAUUCAAAAAAAUAUAAAAUUAUUAUUUAUUUUGUUUGUGACUUGCUUUAUUAUCAAAGUAUUUUAAGUAUGACUUAUCAUUUUUUCAUAUUUGCACUAAUUUUUCAAAUAAGACGAAUGGUCAAGCGUUGCAAGCAAAAAGUCAAAGCGACCACUAAU
rfam:Oryza sativa Japonica Group DNA, chromosome 2, cultivar: Nipponbare, complete sequence.